AGAUUUAGCUCACUACUUUGAACACAUCUGAUCUCGUCUGAUCAGAGAAAGCUAAGCAGGGUCAGGCCUGGCCAGUACUUGGAUGGGAGAUUAACUUAUUUAACUUUAAGUCCACUGAUUUUA
rnacentral:rRNA from 1 species